AGGGGCAUAGCUCAAUUGGUAGAGCGUCGGUCUCCAAAACCGAAGGCUGGGGGUUCGAGACCCUCUGCCCCUGCCA
rnacentral:tRNA from 1 species